GUGGGGAAUAUUGGACAAUGGGGGGAACCCUGAUCCAGCCAUGCCGCGUGUGUGAAGAAGGCCUUUUGGUUGUAAAGCACUUUAAGCGAGGAGGAGGCUACCGAGAUUAAUACUCUUGGAUAGUGGACGUUACUCGCAGAAUAAGCACCGGCUAACUCUGUGCCAGCAGCCGCGGUAAUACAGAGGGUGCAAGCGUUAAUCGGAUUUACUGGGCGUAAAGCGCGCGUAGGUGGCCAAUUAAGUCAAAUGUGAAAUCCCCGAGCUUAACUUGGGAAUUGCAUUCGAUACUGGGUGGCUAGAGUAUGGGAGAGGAUGGUAGAAUUCCAGGUGUAGCGGUGAAAUGCGUAGAGAUCUGGAGGAAUACCGAUGGCGAAGGCAGCCAUCUGGCCUAAUACUGACACUGAGGUGCGAAAGCAUGGGGAGCAAACAGGAUUAGAAACCCCAGUAGUCC
rnacentral:rRNA from 1 species